rnacentral:rRNA from 2 species
GAGUGGCGGACGGGUGAGUAACACGUGGGCAACCUGCCCAGAAGCAGGGGAUAACACCUGGAAACAGAUGCUAAUACCGUAUAACAGAGAAAACCGCCUGGUUUUCUUUUAAAAGAUGGCUCUGCUAUCACUUCUGGAUGGACCCGCGGCGCAUUAGCUAGUUGGUGAGGUAACGGCUCACCAAGGCGAUGAUGCGUAGCCGACCUGAGAGGGUAAUCGGCCACAUUGGGACUGAGACACGGCCCAGACUCCUACGGGAGGCAGCAGUAGGGAAUCUUCCACAAUGGACGCAAGUCUGAUGGAGCAACGCCGCGUGAGUGAAGAAGGGUUUCGGCUCGUAAAGCUCUGUUGUUAAAGAAGAACGUGGGUGAGAGUAACUGUUCACCCAGUGACGGUAUUUAACCAGAAAGCCACGGCUAACUACGUGCCAGCAGCCGCGGUAAUACGUAGGUGGCAAGCGUUAUCCGGAUUUAUUGGGCGUAAAGCGAGCGCAGGCGGUCUUUUAAGUCUAAUGUGAAAGCCUUCGGCUCAACCGAAGAAGUGCAUUGGAAACUGGGAGACUUGAGUGCAGAAGAGGACAGUGGAACUCCAUGUGUAGCGGUGAAAUGCGUAGAUAUAUGGAAGAACACCAGUGGCGAAGGCGGCUGUCUGGUCUGUAACUGACGCUGAGGCUCGAAAGCAUGGGUAGCGAACAGGAUUAGAUACCCUGGUAGUCCAUGCCGUAAACGAUGAUUACUAAGUGUUGGAGGGUUUCCGCCCUUCAGUGCUGCAGCUAACGCAUUAAGUAAUCCGCCUGGGGAGUACGACCGCAAGGUUGAAACUCAAAAGAAUUGACGGGGGCCCGCACAAGCGGUGGAGCAUGUGGUUUAAUUCGAAGCUACGCGAAGAACCUUACCAGGUCUUGACAUCUUCUGCCAACCUAAGAGAUUAGGUGUUCCCUUCGGGGACAGAAUGACAGGUGGUGCAUGGUUGUCGUCAGCUCGUGUCGUGAGAUGUUGGGUUAAGUCCCGCAACGAGCGCAACCCUUAUUACUAGUUGCCAGCAUUCAGUUGGGCACUCUAGUGAGACUGCCGGUGACAAACCGGAGGAAGGUGGGGACGACGUCAAAUCAUCAUGCCCCUUAUGACCUGGGCUACACACGUGCUACAAUGGAUGGUACAACGAGUCGCGAAACCGCGAGGUUUAGCUAAUCUCUUAAAACCAUUCUCAGUUCGGACUGUAGGCUGCAACUCGCCUACACGAAGUCGGAAUCGCUAGUAAUCGCGGAUCAGCAUGCCGCGGUGAAUACGUUCCCGGGCCUUGUACACACCGCCCGUCACACCAUGAGAGUUUGUAACACCCAAAGCCGGUGGGGUAACCUUUUAGGAGCUAGCCGUCUAAGGUGGGACAGAUGAUUAGGG